rnacentral:rRNA from 1 species
AGUGAACGCUGGCGGUAGGCCUAACACAUGCAAGUCGAACGGCAGCACAGUAAGAGCUUGCUCUUACGGGUGGCGAGUGGCGGACGGGUGAGGAAUACAUCGGAAUCUACUUUUUCGUGGGGGAUAACGUAGGGAAACUUACGCUAAUACCGCAUACGACCUACGGGUGAAAGCAGGGGAUCUUCGGACCUUGCGCGAAUGAAUGAGCCGAUGUCGGAUUAGCUAGUUGGCGGGGUAAAGGCCCACCAAGGCGACGAUCCGUAGCUGGUCUGAGAGGAUGAUCAGCCACACUGGAACUGAGACACGGUCCAUACUCCUACGGGAGGCAGCAGUGGGGAAUAUUGGACAAUGGGCGCAAGCCUGAUCCAGCCAUACCGCGUGGGUGAAGAAGGCCUUCGGGUUGUAAAACCCUUUUGUUGGGAAAGAAAAGCAGCAGGUUAAUACCCCGCUGUUCUGACGGUACCCAAAGAAUAAGCACCGGCUAACUUCGUG